CCACCUUUGACAUGGCAGGAAGGCUCCAGAGAUGGGGCUGUGCUCGAAAGAGAACCUGCACACAGGUGCUGCAUGGCUGUCGUCAGCUCGUGCCGUGAGAUGUUGGGUUAAGUCCCGCAACGAGCGCAACCCUUGCCAUUAGUUGCUACGAAAGGGCACUCUAAUGGGACUGCCGGUGACAAGCCGGAGGAAGGUGGGGAUGACGUCAAGUCCUCAUGGCCCUUAUAGGUGGGGCUACACACGUCAUACAAUGGCCGGUACAAAGGGUAGCCAACCCGCGAGGGGGAGCCAAUCCCAUAAAGCCGGUCGUAGUCCGGAUCGCAGUCUGCAACUCGACUGCGUGAAGUCGGAAUCGCUAGUAAUCGUGGAUCAGCAUGUCACGGUGAAUACGUUCCC
rnacentral:rRNA from 1 species